CUUGCUGAGGUGUGGAGCCCAUUGACCUCUGCUCCAGUUUAUCGGAUGGCUGUGUGGGUGCUGCCAGAUUUAGCCACGUUAAUGAGAUUAACGCUGAUAAUAAGAUCAUCCGGUGGGGGAGGGAGUUUGGGUUCAGCCAGGCAUUGCCACUAAGCAGAAGUCCCAGACCAAAAAACUCCUGACGUCUCGCUGGAUCUCCACUACUUUCACAGGCACCAUGUCUAAGGAAAAACUGGAAUCUCUGAUGAAAAAUAUGGAAAUCAUGUUGUCUGAAGUGGAACAGCUCAAAAUCCACUGUAGGAAGCAGAGUGAGGAGCUGAACCAGGUAGUGCAGGAGCUGCGGCGGGAAAACAAGGAGCUGACACACAAGUAUGGCCAGCUGACGCAUGACAUGAAGGAGGCCAAGGAAACAAUUAACCAACUCCAGGACACCAAGUUUGCUUUCGAGGCAAAAGAACGGCAAGCGCAAAAACUCAACCGGCAGCUGUGACACCCAAGUGAAAGUAGGAAGUGGGGUGUGCAGCAUUGGAAGCAAGUCACCUAAACCACACCACAAAAGCAGCUCAGCAGCCAUUUGUCAGACAUCUCUGUGCCUCCUUGACAAGUGACCGGAGUGUGUCCGCGGGACUGCAGCAUUCCACAUACCAAGCAGAUGAAAUGCCAGGCUCAUCAGAUCGUCCACAUACAAGCAAGCAGUUCAUCUGUAUACCAAGGACUCUUGGCUGGUUGGUGUUCUGCAGACAGUUGGUGACCCUUGAACUUGAAGAGAAGAAUAAUUCCAAACAAUGCAACAUUACUUUGGCAAUUUGGCAUGGAAAGAGAGGGGGAGUCUGCACAGUCUUGAAACUUUAAUGGCAGGAUUUCUCUUGCUACGUCUCACUUGUACUGUAGUUUAUUACUAAGAAUUUGUAUACAAUGUAUUUCUCUCCUAGGCACAAGGAUGUUCAUUGCAGUUCGACCCACUGGAUGUUGUUGAAUAGGAAUUGGGUUUGUGUCAUGCCCUAUUCCAUCAGUGCAUGUUGUUGGGGUGCUACACAUUUGUGAUGAAAUGGGGUAUAAGAUCUUCUUUUGCUUGGGGAUUCCCUCAUCUGGGACACUUCCAUGACCGUCGGCUUCUUAACUUGAAUCCAAUUCCUUAAUUUUCUAAAUUGGUUUAUGUAUAGCAUUACACCAUGAAAAGCAAUUUAAAAAAAAAAAAAAAAAAAAAAAAAAAAAAAGGUCAAUGGAAGUGAUUUAGUGUGUCAGGUCAGUGUGUGUGUUUUACUCCUUUGACGCAUAUCAACAAAGAAUGUGGAUGUGGUUUCAUAAUAGGGUGAAUUUAAGUUUUGCAAAGGGCCUCAUACAGAAUGUUUUGUAAAGUUGUGCUUCAUUUGGGCCUGGGAUGGAGCCAACCUCACAUAAGUCCUCAUUCAGCCCCUGGGCUACUCAUGUCUGUAUGGUGAUGGCAUGCGCUUCUGUUAUCUGUGCCCACUGUCCUGCUAAAGAUGUGCAUGUUAGGUUAACUGGCCUUUGGUAGAUACUUUCUAGUCGAUUCCUACAUUUUACCUAAUGCUGCUUGGGAUAGACACCCCCAGUCCCAUUGUCCUGUCGUGAAAAAAAUUGCUGGGGGAUUUUUGAAGAUGCGGUUUUUCUGGGUGCUAUUCCUGCUGUGAUACUGCACCAUGUUGUCUGCAUCUGUUUGAUUUAACCUGGAGCAAUUAAAAAUAGUACAAACUGGUCAAAAAUCUAUUCAAUUUUGGUCACAGACUAUUUAACACCCAGUACAAUAUGUAGUGAAGUACUUAGAUUUCUGUUUGGUGGAGAUGUUAGGUAAAAGCUGGGACAUAAAUAACUGUUUACUCCAUAAUGUAUGAUUUGCACAAUAUAUGUACAGGCUCGCAGGAGUGUAAUACAACACAGCAUGGAAUUGGCCUCACGUUAAGAAGUUGACUAAACUGGGGUGGGGAAAUGCCACUAGGGGGCGACAGCAGCAAGUGAGAAAAACCCUCAUCUUAUAAAAAACAUUCAGUGCCUCAUCAAGGUGGAUUGGAAUGGUGGUGGCAGGAGUGUCCCAUUAUCCUCUAUCUAGUGCCACCUAUGGCUUCUUGAUGUCAUUCUAACCAGUGUCUUAUCUUAGACCAAUUCCUAAAUAUCACUAAAUCUAGUUAAAUUAUUGUGUUUUUCACCCUCUGAUUGUGUCAAUCACUAGAAUGGUAAGCCGUACUUUCUGAGAAGAGAAACUUGGGCAGGAAAAGAUAGACAUUUUAUCAGAAUUUAUAAAACAAAAAGUUAGGCUUUGCUGGGUGUAAAAGAAAAAAAUGUCUGUAUAGAAAUCAAAGACUAAAGCAAACAGGGCUGGUCUGUAAGUAAGAAAUUGGUUGGAAUUAAACCCUGCAGUCACAGGGAUGGGAGGCACCGUCAUUCCCCAACAGACU